GACGAACGCUGGCGGCGUGCUUAACACAUGCAAGUCGAACGGAAAGGCCCUGCUUUUGUGGGGUGCUCGAGUGGCGAACGGGUGAGUAACACGUGAGUAACCUGCCCUUGACUUUGGGAUAACUUCAGGAAACUGGGGCUAAUACCGGAUAGGAGCUCCUGCUGCAUGGUGGGGGUUGGAAAGUUUCGGCGGUUGGGGAUGGACUCGCGGCUUAUCAGCUUGUUGGUGGGGUAGUGGCUUACCAAGGCUUUGACGGGUAGCCGGCCUGAGAGGGUGACCGGGCACAGCGGGACGGUGAGCAGGCGCAGCAUGGGAGGGGGGGAAGGGGGGGGGAAGAGCGCAGCCUGGGGGGAGCCCGGAGUGGGACGCGCGGGGGGGGGUAUGCCGGCCUGUGGGGUGAGCGCCGCUGUCGCCUGUGGGGGGGGGGGGGGUGCGGUAAGGGGAAAAGAGCCCCCGGCGAUCUACGGGCCAGGAGGGGUGGUAAAGGAAGAAGACAACUCGCCUGACC
rnacentral:rRNA from 1 species